rnacentral:lncRNA from 1 species
GGUUUGCAGAGGCGGAGGGUAAUGGGAGGCAACAGCUUACCAAUAUCGCUAUUCUCAGCUCCUUGAGUGCAGCGCCAGGGCAUGUUGACUGGGGCCCCUCUGACAACGUCCACUCACAUGGGAUCCAGCUUGAGGCCACUGCAUCAACUGUCCUUGAUGAUGGGGAAGAAUAAGUGUGCCAUGGCAGAAGGCUGUCCUCAGAAGAGGAACAGUAAGAUAGCAAUUUCAAUGAGAUAAUACCACAAAGCGAACUCAGUGACGCACACAGGCAGCUGAUAACAGCUGACACAUGUGGAUCUUAAGCCAAGUGUGUAUUAUCAGAAAACGAGCUAAAAACCCCGUAAAACUCCCCACUGCCUGACUUGAAAACAUUCCUUUUGAAAUUGGUUAAUGACUGAUAAUAUUUUAAGUUUUGCAUGCAAACACACUUCCAGAAAUAUGAAUUGAAAGCAAGAGUAUGCCCCUUUAAUGAAUGUGAGCUAGGUACACAAC